CACGUAGGCGGGACCUUAAGUCAGGUGUGAAAGACCGUGGCUCAACCACGGGGUUGCACUUGAAACUGGGGAUCUUGAGGGCAGGAGAGGAAAGUGGAAUUCCUGGUGUAGCGGUGAAAUGCGUAGAAAUCAGGAGGAACACCGGUGGCGAAGGCGACUUUCUGGACUGACCCUGACGCUGAGGUGCGAAAGCGUGGGUAGCAAACAG
rnacentral:rRNA from 1 species